AUGGUGGUGACAGAGGGCAGCGAGACAGGGAAGUCGAACUAAUUUCCAAAAUCCAUCUCAGUUCGGAUUGCACUCUGCAACUCGAGUGCAUGAAGUUGGAAUCGCUAGUAAUCGCAGAUCAGCAUGCUGCGGUGAAUACGUUCCCGGGCCUUGUACACACCGCCCGUCACACCAUGGGAGUUGGUUUUACCCGAAGGUAGUGCGCUAACCGCAAGGAGGCAGCUAACCACGGUAGGGU
rnacentral:rRNA from 1 species